GAGCACGUAGGUGGGUUUGUUAAGUCAAAUGUGAAAUACACUGGCUCAACCAGUGGACUGCGUUUGAAACUGGCAGACUUGAGUAUAGGAGAGGAGAGUGGAAUUCCUGGUGUAGCGGUGAAAUGCGUAGAUAUCAGGAAGAACAUCGAUGGCGAAGGCAGCUCUCUGGCCUAAAACUGACGCUGAGGCACGAAAGCGUGGGGAGCAAACAGGAUUAGAUACCCUGGUAGUCCACGCCGUAAACGAUGGAUACUAGGUGUGGGGGGUUCGAUUCCCUCUGUGCCGGAGUUAACGCAAUAAGUAUCCCGCCUGGGGAGUACGGUCGCAAGAUUGAAACUCAAAGGAAUUGACGGGGGCCCGCACAAGCGGUGGAGCAUGUGGUUUAAUUCGAUGCAACGCGAAGAACCUUACCAAGGCUUGACAUCCCAUGACUACCUAUGAAAGUAGGGUUGCCCUUCGGGGCCAUGGAGACAGGUAGUGCAUGGUUGUCGUCAGCUCGUGUCGUGAGAUGUUGGGUUAAGUCCCGCAACGAGCGCAACCCUUAUCCUUAGUUGCCAGCAUUAAGUUGGGGACUCUAAGGAGACUGCCGGUGAUAAACCGGAGGAAGGUGGGGAUGACGUCAAAUCAUCAUGCCCUUUAUGCCUUGGGCUACACACGUGCUACAAUGGGUUGUACAGAGGGCAGCGAAGCCGAGAGGUGAAGCGAAUCC
rnacentral:rRNA from 1 species